AUUGAACGCUGGCGGAAUGCUUUACACAUGCAAGUCGAACGGUAGAGGGGGCAACCCCUCGAGUGUGGCGAACGGGUGAGUAAAGUAUCGGAACGUGCCCAGUCGUGGGGGAUAACGUAGCGAAAGUUACGCUAAUACCGCAUACGAUCUAUGGAUGAAAGCGGGGGAUCGCAAGACCUCGCGCGAUUGGAGCGGCCGAUAUCAGAUUAGGUAGUUGGUGGGGUAAAGGCUCACCAAGCCGACGAUCUGUAGCUGGUCUGAGAGGACGACCGGCCACACUGGGACUGAGACACGGCCCAGACUCCUGCGGAGUCAGCAGUGGGGAAUUUUGGACAAUGGGCGCAAGCCUGAUCCAGCCAUGCCGCGUGCAGGAUGAAGGCCUUCGGGUUGUAAACUGCUUUUGUACGGAACGAAAAGGUUUGACUUAAUACGUUGGACUCAUGACGGUACCGUAAGAAUAAGCACCGGCUAACUACGUGCCAGCAGCCGCCGUAA
rnacentral:rRNA from 1 species